AUACAAUGAUGUGGACAUCUCGUUAGGAGUUCCUUGUAUCUUUCCCAAGCUUUGUAAAGUGAUUCUCCUUCCUGUUGCACAAAAGAUGUAAUUUCUCCUCUCAACUU